UGAAGCAUUUGGUUUAUUUUUCACCUGGCGCUGAUACCGAUAUGUUUAGUUCAAAAACAAAUUCAAGCCAGCCAAUUUCUAGAAGAGAAAUUUCAAACCCUAUAGGUAUUGAGACAUUGAGCGGUUUAUCAACAGGCAUUGAAACCGAUUUGUUCAGUUCGGAAACAGAGUUAGGCAAGCUAAUCUUUAAAAGAGAAAUUGCAAACCGAAAGGGUUUAAAUGAUUGGACAAUCGAAGGAUUUAUUACCUUAUAUUAAAUUUAUUUCAUUACAUUAGAUUUAUCACUUUAUAUUAAAAUUUAUUUAAUUAUGAUACUUAAAUUCAAAAUUUUCAAUUUUUAAAUUUGCAUUG